CCUACGGGAGGCAGCAGUGAGGAAUAUUGGUCAAUGGGCGGAAGCCUGAACCAGCCAAGCCGCGUGAGGGAAGCAGGUUCAGCGUAUCGUAAACCUCUUUUGUCAGGGAACAAAGGCGGGGACUAGUCCCCGGAUGAGGGUACCUGAAGAAAAAGCAUCGGCUAACUCCGUGCCAGCAGCCGCGGUAAUACGGAGGAUGCGAGCGUUAUCCGGAUUUAUGGGGUUUAAAGGGUGCGCAGGCGGCCUGUUAAGUCAGCGGUAAAAGCCCGGGGCUCAACCCCGGCGAGCCGUUGAAACUGGCGGGCUGGAGUUGGAGAGAAGUACGCGGAAUGCGCGGUGUAGCGGUGAAAUGCUUAGAUAUCGCGCAGAACCCCGAUUGCGAAGGCAGCGUACCGGCUCCACACUGACGCUGAGGCACGAAAGCGUGGGUAUCGAACAGGAUUAGAUACCCUGGUAGUC
rnacentral:rRNA from 1 species